UAGGGAAUCUUCGGCAAUGGACGAAAGUCUGACCGAGCAACGCCGCGUGAGUGAAGAAGGUUUUCGGAUCGUAAAACUCUGUUGUUAGAGAAGAACAAGGACGUUAGUAACUGAACGUCCCCUGACGGUAUCUAAUCAGAAAGCCACGGCUAACUACGUGCCAGCAGCUGCGGUAAUACGUAGGUGGCAAGCGUUGUCCGGAUUUAUUGGGCGUAAAGCGAGCGCAGGCGGUUUCUUAAGUCUGAUGUGAAAGCCCCCGGCUCAACCGGGGAGGGUCAUUGGAAGCUGGGAGACUUGAGUGCAGAAGAGGAGAGUGGAAUUCCAUGUGUAGCGGUGAAAUGCGUAGAUAUAUGGAGGAACACCAGUGGCGAAGGCGGCUCUCUGGUCUGUAACUGACGCUGAGGCUCGAAAGCGUGUGGAGCAAACAGG
rnacentral:rRNA from 1 species